UACGGAGGGGGCUAGCGUUGUUCGGAAUUACUGGGCGUAAAGCGCACGUAGGCGGCUUUGUAAGUUAGAGGUGAAAGCCCAGGGCUUAACCCUGGAAUUGCCUUUAAGACUGCAUCGCUAGAAUCGUGGAGAGGUGAGUGGAAUUCCGAGUGUAGAGGUGAAAUUCGUAGAUAUUCGGAAGAACACCAGUGGCGAAGGCGACUCACUGGACACGUAUUGACGCUGAG
rnacentral:rRNA from 1 species